UACGGAGGGUGCGAGCGUUGUCCGGAAUCACUGGGCGUAAAGGGCGCGUAGGCGGCGCGGAUAGUCGGCGGUGAAAGCCCGGAGCUCAACUCCGGGUCGGCCGUCGAUACUUCCGGGCUUGAGCACUGUAGAGGCAGAUGGAAUUCCGGGUGUAGCGGUGGAAUGCGUAGAGAUCCGGAAGAACACCGGUGGCGAAGGCGGUCUGCUGGGCGAGUUGCUGACGCU
rnacentral:rRNA from 1 species